UUUAAAUGGAUGAAAAUCAAGUCUUCCGUGAUUAAAAACAAAUGCUAUGUUUGGUGCCGCAGUUGCAGAGAGCUGCAGGCCUGCUCUGUGUAUCUUACACCGGAAUGAACUGGAGGAGACAGUAAGAGAUGGAGUUUAAGACGUGUCCAGGAACAACCGUAGGAUUCUCUCUGCUUUGCGACUUGCUCCAGAGAAGAAAACAAAAACAAAGGCCCCCUUCCUUUGCCAUGAAUAUGUGCUCCCGUUAGGACAUGCUGGAUACUGAGAGCACUCUGGCCCAGGGCACCAUUGUCCCUUAUCCAGACGACUCCAGUGGCCUCCUCACUGCUGUCUCCAUGUGUACCAAAAUGUCCCCCAUCCACUUUUGGACAGGAGCCUGAGGGAGCCUGAACUGGCCCAUCGAGCCUUGGCUCUCACAAAUUCAAGGAAAUCUCCAGUUCCUUUCACCGACGACCAGGAGAAAAGUAGCUUAAGCUCAGCCGGGAGAGCGAGAGCAGAAACCAGCCCUUGGAAUUCGAGCAAGUUUUCUUACCUGGGAUCCAUCAUCUCUAGCAUGUGAAAAAGACAACGUCAUCUUUGAGGGGAUGCCAACAUUCACCUUCUCCAAUUCAGCUUGAAGUAUUCAAACAACAAUGGAACUUGGAAGAUGGCAUCGUAUGGUGUGAAAGAAUUACCUAAGAUAAGAAGAUGUUUCUGGGGUGACUCGCCUCCCUUGCAAAUGCACAAAGGCUGAAACCGGCACUUCGGGUCCAGGCAAAGAAAAAUACUGAUCUGGGUACAGUGCUCCUUGAACAUAGAAACCCUUUGCUUUCUCCGCCUCUCCUGCUUCCCCUUUCCCAACUGCUCCCCCACAAACACACAUACACAAUAAGAGUGGAGACACUGGUGCCGCGCUAAGUUAGGGAUGUGGUCUCUUGAAGGUGGCACAUCCUAAAUUCAGUGCACAGCUGGCUUCACUGUAUACGCGGAGCUUCACUGAAUUCCCCGCGGCACCCGUGGCUUUGGAUAACACAAAUACAGUCAUCUAAACAGUCCACAUUCUAUGAGCGAAUGUGGUCAGAUCUUGCCUUAGCGGUCGACGGCUAAGAAAAAUUUGGAAGCAUGGUUAGGAAUAGGAGGAGUAGCCAGAGGUUUCUUCUAUCUUGGCUGCUUUUGUUUUUUAAGCUUGACCUCACCCCCCCCCCCAAAAAAAAUUGCCUAUCAGAAAGCACAGAAGUGCAACGUGGCACCAGGAAUACAAGUGUGAUUUUUGGGACAUCUGCCAUGGUGACCUUUGCCAAGAUGAAAUUCAGUCUUUUACUAGAAAGUAUGGAGGUCUUUGGAGUCUGUACAGACCUGAGCUAAAUCCUAAUUCUGCCUCUCCCUAGCUAUCUGACCUCCAGCAAGAUGGAUGACCUCUGUCAUCUGCAAAAUGAGGAUUAUAAUACUUUACCUCAAUUCGAUGUUGGGAAGAUUAAACAAACGCAAAGAGUCAGAACAGGGUAGAUUCCCCAUGAGAGUUAGCUGCUAAGUUUUUCUCUGCCAAGGCACUGUGAGAGUCACCUGCCUUGCUGACAUGAAAUGGAAAACAGCCACGCUGCCUCGUGUACCUCUCUGAUGGCCAACAGAGGUAUCAUGUGUGCUACCCACACGCCAAGAGUGUGGGAAAUGGUGGUAAAUAUACUUUCAAUGACCGAGAUUCUCUUUUUGCCUCUCUCCCCAGUUUAGUCUUGGACUGUAUUAUUUUACUUGAAAAAAAAACAAAAAAACAAAGGAAUACCAAAAAUGUUUUACAGGGAUAUUAGACUUCAUUCCUAAAUCAGAAGCCCACACCUCAUUUUAGGACACUGAUCAAGUGGCAAAGUUUGUAUCACUGAACGUACCCAGUAUUAAAGAAAACACAAAAGACAGUACCUGUAAGGUAAUCCAGACAUUCUAGCAAUUUCUUCUCUCGGGAAAAAUCUAAGGCAAAGGUGUCAAAUGUGUCGUUGAGGUUGAUUUCAGGAAUUAGCACCUGGGAUGAUGCCGUUGCCAUGGAGACUCUAGAAUUGAAACAAAACAACUUUUUAGAAAUGUCAAGCUGGCUUUUACCAUCACUGCAUAGGAGUGAAAAAAUAAAAGGAAAAGGAAUAUCAUUAAAAAAUCGUGCUUUUUAAAAAAAAUUAAGUUAUUUUUGGCUGUGUUGGGUCUUCAUUGCUUUGCGCGGGCUUUCUCUAGUUGCGGCGAGCGGGGGCUACUCUUCGUUGCAGUGCGUGGGCUUCUCAUUGUGAUGGCUUCUCUUGCUGCAGACCACGAGCUCUAGGCAUACGGGCUUCAGUAGUUGUGUCACGCGGGCUCUAGAGCUUGCGCAAGCUCAGUAGUUGUGGCACACGGGUUUAGUUGCUCCCCGGCACGUGGGAUCUUCCCGGACGAGGGCUCAAACCCGUGUUCCCUGCCUUGGCAGGUGGAUUCUUAACCACUGUGCCACCAGGGGAGUCCAAAAUAGUGCUGUUUUUGAUGUAAGCUAUUAUAUAUAGGAUGGAUAAACAACAAGGUCCUACUGUAUAGCACAGGGAACUAUAUUCAAUAUCCUGUGAUAAACCAUAAUGGAAAAGAAUAUUAAAAAAAUAAUGUAUAUAUAUGUAUAACUGAAUCACUUUGCUGUACAGCAGAA